UUUGUUGCAACACCAGAGAUGGUAGAUGAUGGUGUGUGGUACGCUGACAGCGGAGCUACAAACCAUGUGACAGCUGAACUUGCAAAUCUGAAUCUGAAAAAUGAGUAUACUGGACCUAGUAACAAGGAGGGCUCUUCUUCAAGGGAAGCUUAAAGAGGGUCUCUACCAGUUUGGGAAUAUCAAAGGCUUACGGAAUCGGUCAUCACCAAAGGUCCCCAAAACUGAGCCCAUUUUCUUUACUGGUUUAGUCUCAAAAUUCAAAGAAAGCCAACAUGUUGUUGAGCCCUUUUA